rfam:Drosophila simulans chr2h_Mrandom_013 genomic scaffold.
UUUGUUUUAGUACGUAGGCGUAAUUCCAAUACGGCUUUUGAAUCGUGCAUGCCUACGGACGGCAGGUGGUAUCUUUAGAAGAUUUUAAUU